rnacentral:rRNA from 1 species
GACGAACGCUGGCGGCGUGCUUCACACAUGCAAGUCGAACGAAGUGGCGAACGGGUGAGUAACGCGUAAUCAACCUGCCCUUCAGAGGGGGACACCAGUUGGAAACGACUGCUAAUACCGCAUACUGAAUGAGGGGAUUGCGUCUGAUUAGCUAGUUGGAGGGGUAACGGCUCACCUAGGCGACGAUCCCUAGCGGGUAUGAGAGGAUGAUCAGCCACACUGGAACUGAGACACGGUCCAGACUCCUACGGGAGGCAGCAGUGGGGAAUAUUGCACAAUGGGCGCAAGCCUGAUGCAGCCAUGCCGCGUGUGUGAAGAAGGCCUUCGGGUUGUAAAGCACUUUCAGCGGGGAGCGGUACCCGCAGAAGAAGCACCGGCUAACUCCGUGCCAGCAGCCGCGGUAAUUC